rnacentral:lncRNA from 1 species
CACUGCAAAGCCACUUAACAGCUAAACCUGCCUUCACGUGCAGCUAGAAAACGAGUGAAGUUAUAAGAGUAUUCCGUGGUGUACAAUAUCAUAGCAGAAAUCAAUUUUGAGGCCAUUGCUUGUAGAGGACACAGAUGAAACCUUUUGACGCACAAGACUAACUCCAGAAACAAAAAAGUUACUCGCUCUGUUUCAAAAACAUUAGCACUAUUUCCUUAUUAGUCCAUAUCAAAAAGAUCGACACCUUUCAAUAUCUCCUUAAUAGGAAGCAUUUAUAGGAUUUGUGUAUCCAUAGAUGAUUUAUGGUAGUUACUAUUUGAUAUUAUUGCAUGCCUUUUUAUUUAUGGUUUUUAUGUUUAGAUAAUUAGACAAGAGGGGUUGCUCUGAUGGUAAGCAACCCCCACUUCCAACCGAGAGGUUGUCAGAAAAUGAGGCGCUUGAAAUUUUAUGACAAGAGGGGUUGCUCUGAUGGUAAGCAGCCCUCACUUCCAACCGAGAGGUUGUGAGUUCGAGUCUCCCCAAGAGCAAGGUGGGAAGUUCUUGGAGGGAAGGAUGCCGGGGGUCUAUUUGGAAACAACCUCUCUACCCAAGGGUAGGGGUAAGGUAUGCGCACAUACUACCCUCCCCAGACCCCACUACGUAGGAUCAUACUGGGUUGUUGUUGUUGUUGUUGUAUGUUUAGAUAAUUAUUUACGCGAUUUUUGCUGGAGUUACUAAUGCUCUUUUGCUUUUGUUUUUGUUUUUGUUUUUGUUUUACUUCCCUGAGCCGAGGGUCGAUUGGAAACAGCCCUUUCGGGUAGGGGUAAGGCCUGUCUACAUAUUACCCUCCUCAAACCCCAAUUUGAGGGACUAUACUGGGUAGUUGUUGUUGUUGUAUUAGGAAGCAUUUAUAGGCAGACAAAUGCUAUGGCAGGUUUGAGACCACAAGUUUCAACAGUUUUACG